UGGCGGCGUGCCUAAUACAUGCAAGUCGAACGCACAGCGAAAGGUGCUUGCACCUUUCAAGUGAGUGGCGAACGGGUGAGUAACACGUGGACAACCUGCCUCAAGGCUGGGGAUAACAUUUGGAAACAGAUGCUAAUACCGAAUAAAACUUAGUGUCGCAUGACACAAAGUUAAAAGGCGCUUCGGCGUCACCUAGAGAUGGAUCCGCGGUGCAUUAGUUAGUUGGUGGGGUAAAGGCCUACCAAGACAAUGAUGCAUAGCCGAGUUGAGAGACUGAUCGGCCACAUUGGGACUGAGACACGGCCCAAACUCCUACGGGAGGCUGCAGUAGGGAAUCUUCCACAAUGGGCGAAAGCCUGAUGGAGCAACGCCGCGUGUGUGAUGAAGGCUUUCGGGUCGUAAAGCACUGUUGUAUGGGAAGAACAGCUAGAAUAGGAAAUGAUUUUAGUUUGACGGUACCAUACCAGAAAGGGACGGCUAAAUACGUGCCAGCAGCCGCGGUAAUACGUAUGUCCCGAGCGUUAUCCGGAUUUAUUGGGCGUAAAGCGAGCGCAGACGGUUUAUUAAGUCUGAUGUGAAAGCCCGGAGCUCAACUCCGGAAUGGCAUU
rnacentral:rRNA from 1 species